CCUACGGGGGGCAGCAGUGGGGGAUAUUGCACAAUGGGGGGAACCCUGAUGCAGCGACGCCGCGUGAGCGAUGAAGUAUAUCGGUAUGUAAAGAUCUAUCAGCAGGGAAGAAAAUGACGGGAACUGACUAAGAAGCCCCGGCUAAAUACGUGCAAGCCGCCGCGGUAAUACGUAGGGGGCAAGCGUUAGCCGGAUUUACUGGGUGUAAAGGGAGCGUAGACGGCAGUGCAAGUCCGAAGUGAAAGGCAAGGGCUCAACCUUUGGACUGCUUUGGAAACUGUGCUGCUGGAGUGUCGGAGAGGCAAGUGGAAUGCCUGGUGUAGCGGUGAAAUGCGUAGAUAUUAGGAUGAACACCAGUGGCGAAGGCGGCUUGCUGGACGAUGACUGACGUUGAGGCUCGAAAGCGUGGGGAGCAAACAGGAGUAGAUACCCGAGUAGUC
rnacentral:rRNA from 1 species